rnacentral:rRNA from 1 species
UACGUAGGGUGCAAGCGUUGUCCGGAAUUAUUGGGCGUAAAGAGCUCGUAGGCGGUCUGUUGCGUCCGCUGUGAAAACUCGGGGCUUAACCCCGAGCCUGCAGUGGAUACGGGCAGACUAGAGGUAGGUAGGGGAGAAUGGAAUUCCCGGUGUAGCGGUGAAAUGCGCAGAUAUCAGGAGGAACACCGGUGGCGAAGGCGGUUCUCUGGGCAUGUCCUGACGCUGAGGAGCGAAAGUGUGGGGGAGCGAACAGG